rnacentral:lncRNA from 1 species
AGAAACCAAGUUCACAGCUCGGGGUUGUUGGUUUUCACACGGUCAAGGUGAGGAUUGUUUCCAGUUGCUGAGCACGAGACAUGUUCUCAUAUUUCUACAUUGGUUUCUUGGUAGAUUAGGACAUAGGAUUGGUAUAGCUGUAGAUAAUUAGCAUAUUAGUGAAUGAGUUUUUGAAUUGUUUUGGCAGGAUUUAAUGAGCAACAAUGUGAACAUACAUUUUAAAUGCCAAGGUCGCAUGUAUAGUUUAAUGAUAGUGGAAGAGAUAACUCUGCCAGUGCUAGAAGCAAGGAUAUGCAGAAAGGUUGCGUUGGAUGAAAGUACGGUGAAAUUGAG